rnacentral:antisense_RNA from 1 species
CGCGAGUGAUCCCUGACAGAACAGUCCCCCUCUCCGCCCUGGGGGAGCCGGGGAGGAUGUGCAGCCCCACUCCUCCUGCUCGGCGGAGCCUCGCGCGCGCAGAGCCUAGCGCGAUUCGCGCCCUCAUUACCACUACAAAGCGCGGGCCAGACCAAUCCCCUUUCUAAUGCACCAUUUUCGAAUGAGAACAUCAAGAGGCCAGAAACUUCCAAGUCAGCUUGCAGACGCAGACGCCUCCUGGGGUCCUGGCUUUAAGAACCAGAUGCCAACAUUCCCGGACAGUUUAUGGCAUCCGGAUCCCUCAAGGGUGCUCAUCUGCAGUUGAGAGUGUUAGUAGCAAUUAUUUAUCAUCUCUCCUGGAGAGGAGUUCCUGAACGUAAAUGUCCUCUGCUGGCCCUAAAGCUGUGUUGUGGGGUGGGGGUUGGGGGGCCAAAUGUUCCC